UACGAAGGGGGCUAGCGUUGCUCGGAAUCACUGGGCGUAAAGCGCACGUAGGCGGAUUGCUAAGUCAGGGGUGAAAUCCUGGAGCUCAACUCCAGAACUGCCUUUGAUACUGGCGACCUUGAGUCCGGGAGAGGUGAGUGGAACUGCGAGUGUAGAGGUGAAAUUCGUAGAUAUUCGGAAGAACACCGAUGGCGAAGGCAGCUCUCUGGGACGGUACUGACGCUGAGACGCGAAAGCGUGGGGAGCGAACAGG
rnacentral:rRNA from 1 species